AAAAAAUAAAAGUAAAAAGGACAUGAUGAAAGGAUACUUACUGGCUCUAAUGAGUGAAAAAGGCAUCUGCUUUGGAGGUAGCUGCCAUGGAAAACAACUCAGACACAUUUCAUCAAACUGUAAUCCUCCGCAUAAUUCAAAACUGCGAGGCACGUUGGAGCCACGGGGGCUGGAGAGACUGAAACAUUGUUUGUAACCUUAGUUACUGAUAAAAAAAAGAUAUGGCACCAAAACACGAGAAAAAGAAGAAACGUGGAUGCUGCCCAUGUCUGUCAUCAUCUGUGAACGAAGCUGAAGAUUGUGAGGAAUAUCUGAUUUCUGUGAGUGAAUCCCCAGAGGAAGACUUAGGAGUGUUACAUUCAUUUGAGACAAUACUUGAUUCCACAAAUAGUACUACAAAGAAAAAGAAAAAGAAAAAAUCUAAAAGCCACAAAAAAGCAAAGAAAAAAACUGAACUAGAACUAAAGAAAUUGCAACCACCUGUUUGCCAGAAAAGGGAGAGUGAUGAUUCAUAUGAG